UGGCCGGAUGAACUCUGUCUCUGAUUGGCAGGAGAGUCACGAACCGGUCAGCCCCGGGUCAGGGGCCGCAAGUGAGGAGGCUACAAGUGUCAAGGGGCCUAAGGGAAGCCGGGGCUUAUGAGGGCCGGGCUUUCUCUGCUUGCGGACACCGCGAACGGCCCCUGGCAAGGGUCGCCGGAUGUCGGCGAGACGCCUCCGUGCCUCUGGGGUUCCUCGUUCGCUGUCGGCGGAGGACUGGCUGAGGGAUGGCCUGGUGGGGAGGGAAUCCUCUGGCAGGUGGCUGCGUCGGGCCUAGGGCAGUUGCGCGGCGCUUGGAGACCUGCCCGCCCUCGGGGCCUGUGUGCACAGGGAGGAUAGCUUGUUGAUCUGCAGGCUCAGGAAGGAAGAGAGUAAAAAUCUUGCUGAAGAAGAGUAGGCCUUUCGUUUAGCAAUUGUGAAGAAAACCAACCACGCUGCACCUCUUUCAGCAAGCUGCAAUGUGGUAAACUGCCUUUGAAAGAGACCCACAUGUCAAGAAACUGAGCAUCUCCUGUGGCCAACAGCCAGCAAGUCAUGGAAGCCCCAAGACGAACGGCUUGUGCAAAACUAAAUUCUGCCUACAACAAAAGCAUGAAUUGAGACGCAGAUCCUUCCCUAGUUGAUCCUUGAAAUGCUUGCAGCUCUGUGGACAUCUUGAUUGCAGCCUUGUGAGAAAUUCUGAACCAGAGGACCUUGUAUGCCUUACCCAUAGGACUUAGAAGACAAUAAAUGUUUUUCAAAGAAGUAA